UCUUUCUUUGCUGGCGACCGGCGCACGGGUGAGUAACACGUAUCCAACCUGCCCUUUACUCGGGGAUAGCCUUUCGAAAGAAAGAUUAAUACCCGAUGGCAUAAUGAUUCCGCAUGGUUUCAUUAUUAAAGGAUUCCGGUAAAGGAUGGGGAUGCGUUCCAUUAGGUUGUUGGUGGGGUAACGGCCCACCAAGCCUUCGAUGGAUAGGGGUUCUGAGAGGAAGGUCCCCCACAUUGGAACUGAGGCACGGUCCAA
rnacentral:rRNA from 1 species